rnacentral:rRNA from 1 species
UACGUAGGGUGCGAGCGUUAAUCGGAAUUACUGGGCGUAAAGCGUGCGCAGGCGGUUGUGCAAGACAGAUGUGAAAUCCCCGGGCUUAACCUGGGAACUGCAUUUGUGACUGCACGGCUAGAGUGUGUCAGAGGGGGGUAGAAUUCCACGUGUAGCAGUGAAAUGCGUAGAUAUGUGGAGGAAUACCGAUGGCGAAGGCAGCCCCCCUGGGAUAACACUGACGCUCAUGCACGAAAGCGUGGGGGAGCAAACAGG